CCUCCUUUUUCGCGCUUUCCUCGGAAUUACUAGGCGUAAAGCGCAGGUAGGUGGUUUGAUAAGUCUGUUAUGAAAUUUCCCGGCUUAACCGGGAGGGGCUAAUGGAUACUGUCAGGCUCGAGUGUGGGAGAGGUAACUGGAAUUCCAGGUGUAGCGGUGAAAUGCGUAGAUAUCUGGAGGAACACCAAUGGCGAAAGCAGGUUACUGGCCCAAUACUGACACUGAGCUGCGAAAGCUAGGGGAGCAAACAGGA
rnacentral:rRNA from 1 species